AGGAGAUUUUCUCCUAGGCCUUUUUAGCUUCGCGUUCCCCUCCCGCGACUCCGUUUCCAUCUUCACGCUCGGGAGCUGCUCCUGGCCGGUUUGGAUCUCGCCGAGGAGUGGACAACGGCGCCUGAUCGAUUCAUCGCAUUGUCGCGCUUGAAUUCCUGUCCGCCAUCUCGCACGGCCCGCGUUAUCCGAGGUCUCCCUGGUCGCGUUUAGGGCUCAGACGGUGAGCGAUACGUUGGUGAUCAAGGUGAAGC